UUUUCUACAUUUCACCUCUUUUAAACAGAUGGCACAAUCACUGGAUGUACUGGCUCCGCUACAGAGCUUAGAUUUAUUAUACUUGGCGGCGAUGAAGAUCUAAUGGCUGAUGCGUGUGACAUCAUUCUUAGGGAAAGAGCAGGAAGAACUGAAAUACAGCACAGAAAAGGUCAUGUAUUUGGCAAAAAGGUCAUUGUGUUGAAAACACCUUCUACCUGGAUGAGUCAGGUGGCAUCAUGCCUUUGCUUCUCCUCAAGAGUCAAAUCUAUCAAAGAUGAGAUGGUAUAUUGUGCAUCUCUGGUCUUUCCUGGACCGCAUGCAUUUCUAUUAGUUACUGACAACAGUAAAGUGACUGGGAAGGAACGGUACCUUUUAAGAGCAAUCGCUGAAGUAUUUGGCAAAGAAGCCUUAGACUAUGUUAUGUUAUUGAUAAUUGGAAGAACUGAACCGAAAGGGAUCGACAGUGUCAGGAACUACGUGAGAAAGUUUUACACAUUAGAGGACACUGAGCAAAGUGUUCAAUGUCUGUUCAGAGAAACUGAAAUUAUGACACAAAACAAUGAGUCCACAUUCUUUAUUCAGCCAUCAUAUGAAAACCUCAUGAAAAAGGUAUUUUUAUCAUGGGAAAAGGAAAGAGAUGCUGAAAUACAAAAACAGCAUGCACAAGAGAUGACUGCUUUAGAAGAAAGAUUUAGAACUACUGAAAGUAAUUUAAAGAAAGAAACGGACACUUUGAGAGAGUUGAUGCUGGCCACUAUGAUACGGUUAAAGAAAUACAAAGACAGUGAGGAGCAGAACCAGCAAGGGGCUUCAGGAGCUCAAGAAGAUCUGCUGUUCAAAGAAUGUAGCAACACCGCCUUGAAAAACAUGUUUCCUUCUAUCAUUGAUGAUUUUACUGAACGUGAUAAUGCACUGAAAGAACAGCUUGCGGCUUGUAAAGACACUGUGAGCACCUUGAAGGACAUGUUUUCAUCCUUGACUGAUGAUUAUGUUCAUCAUGACAGUCAGAUAAAGAGUGAAAAUGAGAAGCUCCAAAGAGAACUGGAGCAACACAAACUCAAAGAAAGAGAGUGGGAACAAAAACUUAAGGAAUUGGAGGACAGAUUAAGGCAGGAGAAAGGUCUGAGUAGAAGAGAGAAGGAACUGGAGUCCAAAGAGGGAGGAACGGCAAAGAAAGAGCAAGAAAUCCAAACUACUGGAGAAGAGCAUAAUCUACACCGCAACGUAGAGCUAACUUCUCCUGGGUUAUCUCAAGAACAACGCAGACCUCUAGAUGAAAGAGGAGAGUUGAGCAAAGAUGAAGAUUCACAUGACAGUGAAUCACUUGAGUUUGGAAAACCUGUGAGACGCAACAGCAACCAAUUCGUG
rnacentral:lncRNA from 1 species